AUAAAUUUCUUUUGUUCUUCUAUUCUUCAUCCCUUUGCAACAACCCAAUUUCUUCCUAACCCAAAAACAUAAUUCUUCUUCCCAAUUCUUCAUCCAUCAAUUCAAUCCUUAACCCAUAAAUUCAAAAACCCAGUUUCUGCCUUUAUAGGAAAUCCGGUUCCUAGUUCCUGCCUUUGUUCUUCAUCAAUCAUUUGUUUCGACGAAUUCGGCGGAGU
rnacentral:lncRNA from 1 species